UAACGGCUAGUGGGCUGAAAAAAUCUGACCACCAACGAAGGGAGCUUUAGUCCCAGUUGGAAACACCAACCGGGACAAAACCCACCCUCUUUAGUUUAGUCCCGGUUGGAAUUACCAACCGAGACUAAAGGAGGCUUAUUCCAACCGGGACUAAACUAGAGGGGGGGGGUUGUCCCGGUUGGUGUUUCCAACCAAGACAAAAACUCCUCGCCUAUAAAUUCACCUUCUUCCUCCCCAAGCCCGAGCCACUCAGACCGAGAGCUUUGGGCUCCUUCUCCAUGGCGAGCAAGCAACCUUACGGAGGUGCUACCCGAUUUUUUUUCUCAUUUUCGUGGGGAUUUCACUCAUCCAAAGUGUUAUAAAGGUUAGCUACUUCAUCCUCCCUUCAUUUAUUGUUAUUAUGCUUUGUUUUAUGCUUUAGAGAUAGAGAAAAAUGAGUUUUUUAAAUGAGGGAGAAUGGAGAGGAUUUUUAUUUAUACAUGUUUUUGAGCUAGAUUUGAUGGAUAGUUUGCUUGUUAUAUAUGAUUCAUAUUAGGUAAAGAACUUGAUCAAUAUUAGGUACGGGAAAAAAUAGAGUAAAUGUGUUUUUAAUAUUUAGUUAUUGCAAUAAAAUUAAGGUAAAUAAAUUGUAAGGUAAGAAAUAGAAUCUAGUCAUUGCUACAAUUUUUCAUGUCACUCUAAUUUAACAAUAAUUCUAUUUCUUUGACCAAUAAUUUAUUUAUCUCAUGUUUAUUGCAAAGGCUAAAUAUUAUAAACACAUUUACUCUAUUUUCCCCUACCUAAUAUUGAUCAAGUUCUUUAUCUAAUA
rnacentral:lncRNA from 1 species